UCACACCUUUGACAGACUCACAUCUUUGCAUAUUGUCUUCAACAGGUGUCUUCAACAGGCUCGCACUUUGCUAAGCUUGCAGCUUUGACAUCUUGCUAAGCUUGCACAUUUGGAAAGCUCACACCUUUCCUUGAAACUGCUCCUUCAGCUUAUUCAAGCUUGUUUGGAGGUCUCAUAAGUUUGAGCCGAUGUUGAGCAGGGGAAGCAAAAUCAAUGGUCCCUUAAGACUUAGGCUCAUGAUACCAUUUGUUUGAACAAUGGCAGCAGCAAAAAGAAAAAGAACAAGACAGAGAACAAAGGAGGAAGAAACAAAAACAAUUUACUUGCUCACAAACGUGCAGCAAGGGA
rnacentral:lncRNA from 1 species